rnacentral:rRNA from 1 species
AUGUCUGGAGCGGCCGCGCUGCGGAGAUCCGGCAGCAACAGCCUCUCCGCCCUGCUGCGCGCCGAGGACGACGACCCCGGCGCCCUGGCCGCCACCAAGCGGCGCGACGGAGGGGGGCGCGGAGGGAGGAGGAGCUGCCUCCGCCUGUCCCUCGGCGGCGACGGCGGCUGCCGCGUCUGCGCCUGCGACGAGGUCGACCCCGCCCCGCGCCGGCGCGCGCCGGGGGACGGGGACGGCGACGGCGAGGCGGAGGCGGGUGCGGACGGGGAGGAGCAGCGCGUCCCCGCCGCGCUCCAGUGCUUCUCCUGGAAGAAGGGCCCCGCGGCCGCCGCGCGCAUCGGCCGGGCAUUGCGGGUCCAGGAUGAUGCGGUGGCGGAGGACGCGGCGCCGUCCCUCACGGCGCUCCCGGACGACGUGCUGGAGAUGGUGCUGAGCCGGCUCCCGCUGGCCUCGCUCCUUGCCGCGCGCUGCGUCUGCAGGCGGUGGCGGGACCUCACCGUCGCGCCGCAGCUGCUGCGCCUGCGCCGCGAGGGGCCGCGCCCGGCCACGACGCCCUGGCUCUUCCUGUUCGGGGUCGAGGCCGACGGUGGCUGGGGCGCCUCCGCUGCCGCCACGGCCGUGCACGCGCUCGACGUGGCCGCGCACCGGUGGCGCCGGGUCGGGGCGGCCCCGCUCAAAGGUAGGUUCCUGUUCUCCGUCGCCGGCGUCGGGGACGAGCUCUACGUCGUCGGGGGCCGCUCCGGGGGGUCCAGCGCCGGCUCCGUCAAGACAAAGACACACAAGGGAGUCAUGGUGUUCAGCCCUCUCACCGGCGCGUGGCGGAAGACCUCCCCGAUGCGGGCCGCGCGGUCACGGCCGGUGCUGGGGGUGUUCGAGAUGUCUGCCAGUCGCAGCAUUGUCCACGCCCGCGCUGAGAAGCAUGUCCGGCGCGCCAACGCCGGCGGCAAGUUCCGGCUGGGAGGCACCUCCGCCGUGUACGAGGACCCGCACCGGCUCUCGCUCCGGCGGCUCCGUCUCAGGGAUGUGCUGAACGAGGACACCGAUUCCACUGUCCCAGCUCACGGUCACGGCAAGGCUGCCAGGCAACAGAGGCAGCCAGCUCAGGCAAGGCAAGCCCUGAUCGCUGUGGGUGGCCGAGGGCCAUGGGACGAGCCCCUCGUGUCCGGCGAGGUAUACGAUCCGGUGACCGACAAAUGGGUCGAGAUCGCCGGGUUCCCCACCGACGUCGGCCUGGCGUGCUCCGGCGCCGUCUGCGGCGACACGUUCUACGUCUACUGCGAGUCCGACACGCUCGUGGCCUACCAUCUGGACGCCGGCUCAUGGUCCGUCGUCCAGACGUCCCGCCCACCACCCCGGCUCCGAGACUACACGCCGGCGCUGGUCUGCUGCGCGUCCCGGCUGUUCAUGCUCUGCGUCUCGUGGUGCGACCCGGCGAACCGGAGGGACAAGGUGGUGCGGAAGGUGUUCGAGCUGAACCUCACCUCCACACCGCUGCUCCGGUGGACCGAGGCCUCGGCCCACCCGGACGCGCCCAUGGAUUCCAACGCGGUGUUCGCCGCCGGCCAGGACAGGAUCUACGCCGUGGAGAUGUUCAGGAUCUUCGGCAAGGUCCUCGACUUCGCGACGGCGUGCCGGGUCUCCGGCGGCGAGCAGAGCUGGAGCCGCAUCGGCCGGGAGAACGCGGCCGCCGAGGCCGACGCCAUGUCCUGCCGGCUGAAGUCAAUGGCCAUGCUGCUCCUCUGA